GAUGAAGAACGUAGCGAAAUGCGAUAAGUAAUGUGAAUUGCAGAAUUCAGUGAAUCAUCGAAUCUUUGAACGCACAUUGCGCCCCUUGGUAUUCCGAGGGGCAUGCCUGUUCGAGCGUCAGUAUAACCCUCAAGCUCAGCUUGGUGUUGGGGCCUGCUGCACUGGCAGCCCUUAAAAUCAGUGGCGGCGCCAUCUGGCUCUAAGCGUAGUAAUUCUUCUCGCUAUGGAGUCCUGGUGGAUGCUUGCCAUCAACCCCCAAUUUUUCUAUGGUUGACCUCGGAUCAGGUAGGGAUACCCGCUGAACUUAAGCAUAUCAAUAAGCGGAGGA
rnacentral:misc_RNA from 1 species